rnacentral:misc_RNA from 1 species
AUGAGCUUUAAUUGACAUAAUAUGGUUUGCAUGGAAAAGUUGUGUACUAUCUGAAACUUUCAAAAAAGCCUUAGAUAUGAGGUUGAAUUUUUAAUUGUAAUAGUGAUAGUAAUAGUUUUUACUUAUAAAAAUUGCUCUCAUAAACUUAUUCUGCUCAACACAAGUUAUCUUUAAAUUCCUUGUUUCCAAUGUUUUAUUGAGAAUUAGUAAGACUGUAAGGGAAAAAAAGAUUCUACCAGUAUUCAAUUGAAAUUCUUAAAUUGUUCAAG